rnacentral:lncRNA from 1 species
UGGCUGAACUGGGGUGGCAAGGAGGAGCCACCGCCACCCAUUAUUUACAGGAAAUUACUAUUAUACCCUUCAGUAAUAUGAGUAUUUCCAAUUCUACUUCAUUUUCCUUUUUCCCUUUCUCUUUCAUCAGAAACGCGAUUUUCUUUUUCUUCUCCCAGACCACCGUACCGCUCUCCAUUCACCACACCACCACCGCCGCGACCACUCUCAUUUCCUUCUCCAUCCAUCACCGUCGCAUCCUCCUCUAUUUUCUGUGUUGAUUCUUCAGUUUAGAGAGCUAUCUCCAUCUCUCUCCAUAAACCCUGAUUGUUGUAAAUUGUAAGGAAAUGUGAAUUUUAAUGUAAUUUCCUUCAAAUCUGAUUCUUCUUUAACGAUUGCAUGUUAUUUAGUUGAUUGCCAUGAGUUUUCCAUCUGUUGUUGUUAAACCUAGUUGAUUAGUGAUUACAUGUCUUGUUUGCUGUAUGAAAUGUUCUGUGAAAUGGGUCAUAAAUUUUUUUAUGAAAGUUUGUGUCUUUAUGCUAAAAUGGUGGUUGGAAAGUGAUUUAGUGUACAAUUUGUUUCAUGAGUUUUGCAUUUGAUUUAACUAUGUUAUGUUUUUGUUUUAGUACUAUGUUGUGUUUUUCAAUGUUCUUGGUUUAGGAACAAUAACAAAUGCUGUUUAUUCAAAGCAGUUUGAUGAAAAACCUCUUUUUUCCUUUGCAUUGAAUCAAAGCAUGUUGUUUUGGGUAACAAAAGAGGGUUUUCUAAUGCAUGAAUGUUUAUUCAGAGGUAAAUUGUUAGUGAAAGCAAACCAAGUCUCAUUGUUUCUGCAAAUAAUGAAAAUAGCACCGCUCCUGCUAGCAAGUAAGUAGGGUGGUGUGAAUUGGCAUUAGAGUUUACCGCAAGGUUUUAAAUUUAGGACAUGUUACAAUUUUUGAUACUGCUAAACAAAUGUUGUUGAUGUAGCCUGAAUCGUAGUUACUUACAAAUGCGGCGAUAUCAAAAGCCAUGAUGUCGUAGCUCAUAUUGCGGUUAAAUAAUGGCUGCGUUUCAAUUUUUUUAUUUUGAUGGCAGGAUGGCGGCCACCCCAAAUAUUUUUGUCUGACUCUGCCACUGGGCCUAAGAGACAACUAAACUUACAAUACAUAAUCAAACUUCAUUAUAUCAUCAUCCCCCUUAUUAAAAUAGUC